AGUAUGUGCGCAAGCUCUUGAACAUAAACCAACCCUCAGCACAACCACUUAGAUACUUCGUAAGCAUCGCCGAAAUAGAGCCAACCAAGUGGACACAAAUCGCCGAAGGCAUCGAGCGUCAGAUGAACUCUGCCCUCAUUUUUGUUGCUGAAACCUACGAAUAUGACAGAGGCGCGGAAUCCACAUGCCUUGUAGGAGGAACAAGUUGGGAGCUGCCACCAGAGUGCGGAAGGCAAGACAUGAAAACCUGGAUUGAGAGUGCCCAGGCACCUAACUUUCCUCAUGGUUCAGCCUUUAUGCCAACUCUCUGUGUCGGCGCCAGCUUAUACGCCAAAAUAUCAGCAACUAGCG